UUAAUGUUGGUUCAAUUCAUCAAGGUGCAAAGAUGUUUCGGAUCUCCAAAUCUUGUGAAGAAUUUUGUUAACCGUUGGAUGAAGCUCUAGAUUUCCCUGGAAUAUAUAUGGAACUUGGAUCUUAUGUUGGUGAAGUUGUCAAAGUUAUGGAGAAAUCAAAGGUUCUGGGGAAGGUGAUACCCUAACCAUUGUCAAGACAUUUGUUACCGCUGUUAUAGUCUCGGAGACCGUACUUAUUCUCCCAUGUAAUGCCGGAGUGAAAAUGCUCGAUGAGGU